GGGGCUGUAGCUCAGACUGGAUAGAGCAGCGGUUUCCUAAACCGCGGGUCGGGGGUUCGAAUCCCCCCAGCCCCC
rnacentral:tRNA from 1 species